rnacentral:rRNA from 1 species
CGUUGAAACACCGGUUUCCGUACGAUCACCGAAGUUGAGCAACGUUGAGAUUGGACAGUACCUAAAUGGGUGACCGUUUGGAGAUCCCAGGUGUUGUAAG